UACCCGGGGCUUGUUGGUCAGGGUAAAACUACGACUACAACUAUUUCUAAACUCGGUCGAACAUCUGGAAAUAAGGGAUAAAAGAACGCUGUUGCUGAGGAUUUCUUGAAAGUUUUUUAUUAUAUUUUAACCUUAGAAAUCCUGCCUUUAUUACGUCAAGGGAUAGCCCACAGAGUUCAUAGACAAGGGACAAAGCAGAUGUGUUUAAGAGAACUAAGGAUUUUAUAAUUAUUUUAAAAGUUGGAGUGCUACAGUCAAACUGUAUAACGUCCUUUUACUGCUUAAAACAUAUUUUCUAUGUAGUAAGGGACGAGGAAAAAAGGUUAACGACAACAAUAAUCUACUGAAAACUUUAUAUUGCGCCGCUCGUCUGUUAUAUUAAAAAGAGCACGACGAGCGUAGUAAACUUUAAUAAAGCUUGUGGAUUCUUUGCAGAAAGAAAUUUUUACAUGUCUCCAACAUUCUGGAUUCUUCCUUAAGCGUGGACAAACAAUUACGAAAAAAAACGAUGCUGGUGUUACACUAUAAAUUUAUUGAGUAACAUCCACGUCCCGUGCCCAAGUGAAAUGCCUUAAAGCUCUAUAGGCUAUAGCGGUCUAAACUGAUACCAGAAAGUAUGAAAAAGGCUCCUAGUGGCUCAAAUUAAGAUGAAUUUCAAAUCAAUAAAUUCCCCCCUCCCCUUCCUCCCCCACCUGCCGCCUCGUGCGGGGGCCCAACCAAGCGUUGUAGUGGCGGGAAUCCUGGUGGACUGCCGAAUGGAAAUGCCUGGCUGCUUUCGAGAGGUUAUUCCUCUGCGACUUAUUCGUGUCCGAGAAGAGUAUACGCGUAAGCAAAGUUCAGUACUUGUACUGCUCCAUCCAUAAACUUCAAAGCUGCCUCGUGGCCUUCCUGCGCAUUGAAGCAGUUUCCUUAAUAAUAGGUAAAUACCCUUCAACAACUAGAAGAAAAACAUCCAGCGAGUCGACCGCGCCGCCGGAAACUUUUGAGUCACAUGGUGAAUCACGUGAUGAGGAAUGAGAUGAUUGGCUCAGGGUGAAUGCAGGGGACACACGUUUUCGCUGUUAACUUUCUAUAGAAAAAAGAUUCGAAUAGAAAAAGGGUAGUGACCUGCAAGAAAAAAACAAACAAUAGGCCAUCGCUGCUCGCACUCAACACUACAGUACUUGUAUUAGCAGUAGUACUAAUACUUUUCCUAUAGGUUUGCUUAUCGUUUAUUACUACUAUUAAUACUGUGAAUGGACGAACACCUGUUAAAAAGAAACUUUUGGGUGCUUUAGUUUCCGAAAACAGCUUAAAACUGGCGCAAAAUAUAUUCGGCUACUGGUGAAUGAAUUGGAAGCAAUAUAUAUAUAUAAUUUGAACCAAAUUCA